UAAUAAUAAAAUGGUAAGUCCAAGUAUCGUUUUCCCAUGAGACUCACGGCACUAAAUUGUUGUGCUUUUGCUUAACCAAUCAUAACUAUAAAAAUAAUAUUUUGGGAUUUUUAUAAAGUACAGAAAAAUAAACAUGAAUGCAAUUUGAUCAAUUGAGGUUAAACACAAAAGUGGAUGAAUGAAUGGAUGUUGUUGGGGGUUUACAAUUUCAUCUAAUCCGCUCUCUCUUACAUACUACCCUUGAAUAUUAGUUUGAUUAAUUCAAUUGUCAUGCGACUUUCUUAGCCUCCCCUUAACCCGAUCCCUCGGCAAAAAGGGCCUAAUAUUAAAUAUUGGCUUGCUAUCCCUAGCCUCCCCUAAUAAUUAAUACCGCAUUAUAAACAGAAGUUAGCGCAAUUGAUCGUCCUACCCUAUCCCUAGGUGAUAUUGCAAAAUCAAGAAAUUACUCACCAGUUCAUGUCAUUANUGUACGUCCCCAUAUCAAUAAAGACAAACAUCAGUUACCGAAUGAGUUAAACGAUAAAGGCCUUAAGCACAGAUGAUAACCCAACAAUAAUCAAUCAAAAUAUAUGGAGACCAUAUAAAUAAUCAAGAGUUUCAAUAAAAGAGAGCAUCAAAAGAUUACAUUGUUUCCCCC
rnacentral:lncRNA from 1 species